GACGAACGCUGGCGGCGUGCUUAACACAUGCAAGUCGAACGGAAAGGCCCUGCUUUUGUGGGGUGCUCGAGUGGCGAACGGGUGAGUAACACGUGAGUAACCUGCCCUUGACUUUGGGAUAACUUCAGGAAACUGGGGCUAAUACAGGAUAGGAGCUCCUGCUGCAUGGUGGGGGUUGGAAAGUUUCGGCGGUUGGGGAUGGACUCGCGGCUUAUCAGCUUGUUGGUGGGGUAGUGGCUUACCAAGGCUUUGACGGGUAGCCGGACUGAGAGGGUGACCGGCCACAUUGGGACUGAGAUACGGCCCGGACUCCUACGGGAGGCAGCAGUGGGGAAUAUUGCACAAUGGGCGGAAGCCUGAUGCAGCAACGCCGCGUGCGGGAUGACGGCCUUCGGGUUGUAAACCGCUUUCGCCUGUGACGAAGCGUGAGUGACGGUAAUGGGUAAAGAAGCACCGGCUAACUACGUG
rnacentral:rRNA from 1 species